UUAAAAUCUCAGGUUCCAAGACGCCAGUCAGAUUCUUGUGUUGGGUAUACAAACUCCAAAGCCGACAAACUUAAAAUAGUGUCGAGAAAUCUCCCAUCAGGUAAUUCCAGCACCUUCCAUACCCUGUUUUGGUGUUUUGGAGGAGGUAGUAUUCAAGACAUUUCUAUCUUACAAAAUCUGCCAUGGUGCGGGUCUGAGUCACCAUGUCUUAUUUGGGGUAUCCUUUCUUCCUUUAGGCUCCAUCAUGGACUUUGUGGACCCUGCAGUUUCUAUUUUCCUUUGAAUAUUAUUCUCAGCACCUCAGUACUGGACUUAGUUUUGUCAAUGUUUGUUGACAAAUCUCCCAUCCUUUCUUGUGCGGAGGAGUCUUCACAGUUAGUGGUGGGGAAAUUGAAGCAUUUGUGGAGUUGCUGCUUUUCCUCUUCUGACCUCCUGUUCUCCAUCCAUACUGCAUCUCCAGCCAGGUCACGAGGCCUCGAUCCUCACUGGCUGAACCUAAGUGGAAACCAAGAGAAAAGGGACUCCUACAGACCAACUACUCAGAGCGGAUCGCAGGGUGGAGAAAGAAAUAAACAGACCUGCAAGAACAAGUGAAAGAGAUCUCACACAGUGUGUUUGUCAUGGACUACUCUCUGUGUGUGACUCAUUUCAACAAUCUCUGUCUUUUUAUGGGUGAAAUUAGCUCUCCUACCUUGAGUUAGUGACUCUUAUACCUAAUAUUAUGCUUCCCAUUUUAUUUUACAUUGACUGGCUAUUUUCACUCAUUGUUUUCUCUUAGUUUUUUUUUCCCCCCCUCAUUUUUGCUCUUUGGUCAAAUUACUAUUCACUCCUUUCUUUUUUUUUUCUCCCUGUUAAAUUGGAAGUUUACAGUACAUUUCCUUUCCACUGAUUUUUCCCUUCCCAUAUUCAACACACUUGCUAUUAGACCUCAGUACUAUAUAAAAACAAAAUACCAACUUUUACUCCUCCUGCGUACUCACUUCCCAGAUUGUUUCAAUAUCUAUUUCAUUGGAAACAUGAAACUUUAGAAAAGUUUUACUUCCUUUUUCUCCACACCGUAACCCUGGCCCCCACAACUUCUAGGUUUGAAAGACAUACUUCACUAUGUUCAGUCCCAGAUGAUUUGGAGGCUUCCCUUUGUAGCAUGCCUAGUUUAAGAACCCUAAUUAAUACAUAUUACAAAUCCCCUGUCAUUCUGUUACUCCCUGUUUGGAUUUAACUAUAUGCAAGUGUAGGUUUUUGCCACUUAUCAUCUUCCCCAUCUGAAGGUCCCUGUUCUAAUUCACUUGUUUUUUUUGAUUAAAAUAAUUUUAGAGGUAUUUUCCACAGAUGGAGUAUGUGGGUAUAUUAGUCCACUUUCAUACUGCUAUGAAGAAAUACCCAAGACUCGGUAAUUUAUAAAGAAAAAAUAGAGUUUAUAAAGACUCAUAGUUCUACAUGUCUGGCAGGCCUCACAAUCAUGGUGGAACACGAAGGGGGAGCAAAGGUACAUUUUACAUGGUGGCAGACAAGAGUGCAUGUGUAGGGGAACUGCCCUUUAUAAAACCAUUAGAUCUCAUGAGACUUAUUCCCUAUCACAAAAACAGCACAGGAAAAAUCCACCCUCAUGAUUCAGUCACCUUCUACCCUGUUCCUCCCACAACACGUGGGGAUUAUGGGAACCAUACUUCAAUAUGAGAUUUGAGUGGGGACACAGCCAAACCAUAUUAUUCCACCCUUGGCCCCUCACAAAUCUCAUGUCCUCACAUUUCAAAACCAAUCAUCCCUUCCCGACAGUCCCUCAAAGUCUUAACUCAUUUCAGCAUUAACUCAAAAGUCCAAAGUUCAAAGUCUCAUCUGAGAUAAGGCAAACUGCUUCUGCCUAUGAAUCUGUAAAAUCAAAGCAAGUUAGUUACUUCCUAGAUACAAUGGGGGUACAGGCAUUGGGUAAAU
rnacentral:lncRNA from 1 species